rnacentral:misc_RNA from 1 species
GAUGAAGAACGUAGUGAAAUGCGAUACUUGGUGUGAAUUGCAGAAUCCCGUGAACCAUCGAGUCUUUGAACGCAAGUUGCGCCCGAAGCCAUUAGGCCGAGGGCACGCCUGCCUGGGCGUCACACGUCGUUGCCCCCCCCAUCUACUCCUUCGGGAUUGCGGGGGGCGGAUGAUGGCCUCCCGUGCGCCUCGCCGCGCGGUUGGCAUAAAUGCCAAGUCCUCGGCGACGCACGCCACGACAAUCGGUGGUUGCGAAACCUCGGUUGCCCGUCGUGUGCGGUCGUCGCGCAUCGAGUGCUCGAAAAAAUUGCCGGGCUCCGGCUCGGCUUUCAACGCGACCCCAGGUCAGGCGGGGUUACCCGCUGAAUUUAAGCAUAUCAAUAAGCGGAGGA